UAAUCUGGCACUUUCAGUGUCCGAGUUGUAAUCUCUAGAAGUGUUUUCCGCGUUGGACCGCACACAAGUCUGUUGGAAUACAGCGGCACAGUGGUGAUACCCCCGUUCAUGGUGCGGACGCCCAGCGCUUUGUGAUACACUUUCGAAGAGUCGAGUUGUUUGGGAAUGCAGCUCAAAUUGGGUGGUAAAUUCCAUCUAAAGCUAAAUAUUGGCGAGAGACCGAUAGCGAACAAGUACCGUGAGGGAAAGAUGAAAAGCACUUUGGAAAGAGAGUUAACAGUACGUGAAAUUGUUGGAAGGGAAACGCUUGAAGUCAGACUUGCUUGCCGGACUUGUUCGGUUUGCAGGCCAGCAUCAGUUUUCCGGGGUGGAAAAGGGUGGUUAGAAGGUAGCAGCUUCAGCUGUGUUAUAGCUUUCCACUGGAUACAUCCUGGGGGACUGAGGAACGCAGCGUGCUUUUAGCGGGGGUCUCGACCCCUUCACGCUUAGGAUGCUGGUGUAAUGGCUUUAAACGA
rnacentral:rRNA from 1 species